rnacentral:rRNA from 1 species
AGUGAACGCUGGCGGUAGGCCUAACACAUGCAAGUCGAACGGCAGCACAGUAAGAGCUUGCUCUUACGGGUGGCGAGUGGCGGACGGGUGAGGAAUACAUCGGAAUCUACUUGUUCGUGGGGUAUAACGUAGGGAAACUUACGCUAAUACCGCAUACGACCUACGGGUGACAGCAGGCGUUCUUCGGACCUUGCGCGAUUGAUUGAGCCGAUGUCGGAUUAGCUAGGUGGCGGGGUAAAGGCCCACCAAGGCGACGAUCCGUAGCUGGUCUGAGAGGAUGAUUAGACACACUGGAAGUGAGACACAGUCGAGACUCCUACGGGAGGCAGCAGUGGGGAAUAUUGGACAAUGGGCGCGAGCCUGAUACAGCCAUACCGCGUGGGUGAAGAAGGACUUCGGGUUGGAAAGCCCUUUUGUUGGGAAAGAAAAGAAGCAGGAUAAUACCCCGCUGUUCUGACGGUACCCAACGAAUAAGCACCGGCUAACUUCGUG